AUUUAUGAAGUUUAUUAAACAUUUCAUUUUCAGUGAAAAAAAAGAAAUAUAAUUAUUUCUCAUAAAUA
rnacentral:tRNA from 1 species